rnacentral:rRNA from 1 species
ACACAUGCAAGUCGAACGGUAACAGGAAGAAUUUUGCUUCUUUGCUGACGAGUGGCGGACGGGUGAGUAAUGUCUGGGAAACUGCCUGAUGGAGGGGGAUAACUACUGGAAACGGUAGCUAAUACCGCAUAACGUCGCAAGACCAAAGAGGGGGACCUUCGGGCCUCUUGCCAUCGGAUGUGCCCAGAUGGGAUUAGCUAGUAGGUGGGGUAAAGGCUCACCUAGGCGACGAUCCCUAGCUGGUCUGAGAGGAUGACCAGCCACACUGGAACUGAGACACGGUCCAGACUCCUACGGGAGGCAGCAGUGGGGAAUAUUGCACAAUGGGCGCAAGCCUGAUGCAGCCAUGCCGCGUGUAUGAAGAAGGCCUUCGGGUUGUAAAGUACUUUCAGCGGGGAGGAAGGGAGUAAAGUUAAUACCUUUGCUCAUUGACGUUACCCGCAGAAGAAGCACCGGCUAACUCCGUGCCAGCAGCCGCGGUAAUACGGAGGGUGCAAGCGUUAAUCGGAAUUACUGGGCGUAAAGCGCACGCAGGCGGUUUGUUAAGUCAGAUGUGAAAUCCCCGGGCUCAACCUGGGAACUGCAUCUGAUACUGGCAAGCUUGAGUCUCGUAGAGGGGGGUAGAAUUCCAGGUGUAGCGGUGAAAUGCGUAGAGAUCUGGAGGAAUACCGGUGGCGAAAGCGGCCCCCUGGACGAAGACUGACGCACAGGUGCUAAAGCGUGGGGAGCAAACAGGAUUACAUACCCUGGUAGUGCACGCCGUGUACGAUGUUCGACUUGGAGGUUGUGCCCUUGAGGCGUGGGUUCUGGAGCUAAGGCGUUAAGUCGACCGCCUGGGGAGUACGGCCGCAAGGUUAAAACUCAAAUGAAUUGACGGGGGCCCGCACAAGCGGUGGAGCAUGUGGUUUAAUUUGAUGCAACGCGAAGAACCUUACCUGGUCUUGACAUCCACAGAACUUUCCAGAGAUGGGUUGGUGCCUUCGGGGUCUGUGCGUCGGGUGCUGCUUGGCUGUCGUCAGCUCGUGUUGUG